rnacentral:lncRNA from 1 species
GGGUGAGCCAGGGGAAGAGAUCCUCUCAGCUUUGGGGAGUUUCAAUUAUUCCUGGAGCCUGCAGGCCAGUGUGAUUGUGGCACAAUGCUUUCUGAAUGUCUGCCUGAUUUCGGUUUUGGCCAUGCGGCACUUCUCUAACAACAGCAGUGCCCGGAAACCUGCCCUGAGGUCAGAUAAUAGUGAGUGGCAAGGGGUGUGGGAAAAGAUGGGCAAAGGCCUGAGUCGGUGGGCACCCCCAAUGCUUUGGAAUUUCACUCCUGAGCAAAUGCAGAGCCCUGAGAAGCUGAUGGAGUGCUUAGAAAGGGUGUGUUAUCAAGCGGGCAAAACCCAGGAGACACAAAUCGCUGCAAUGUGUUGGGGACUUACCUAUGCCUACUGUGUCCUCUUUAAUACCACCCACUGCCCUCAAGGGGGAGAAAAGGCCACAGAACCUGAGAGUGAAUUCAUUGAAACUGCCUGUCCCCCCGGUCCAGAUUCUGAGCCAGCCUCCACCAGCACAGCGACUGAGCCAGAGAGCCAGCCAGUGCCAGAGUCAGUCGCCCCGAUACAGAAAACAAAAUAUACCAGAAAGUCAGUUUGCAAAGAGAGGGAUGGGGAAGAGCCAGGCCCAUCACAGGAACAGGAGGAAGGACCAGAGGUGAUCGUCCAAUCUCUAUCCCUGACUGAGCUGCGAGAUAUGCGGAGAGAUUUCAGCCACCUGGGAGGUGAGCAGAUUUGCACCUGGCUGCUCCGAUGCUGGGACAAUGGAGCCAGUGCUUUUGAGAUGGAGGGGAGAGAGGCCAAGCAGCUGGGAUCUUUGGCCAAGGAUGCUGACAUUGACAGGGCAAUAGGGAAACAGACUCAAACCCUCAGCCUUUGGAGGCGACUCCUGCUCAGUGUAAGGGAGAGGCACCCCUACAAGGAUGAUAUCCUAUGUCAGCUAGGCAAAUGGACCAGCAUUGAGAAAGGCAUCCAGAACCUCAGGGAACUGGCUGUGUUUGAGAUGAUCUAUGGUGAUCUGAAUGAUGAGCAGUCACCCAUGGACCCAGAUCAGGCCCCUUGCAC